GACGAACGCUGGCGGCGUGCUUAACACAUGCAAGUCGAACGGAAAGGCCCUGCUUUUGUGGGGUGCUCGAGUGGCGAACGGGUGAGUAACACGUGAGUAACCUGCCCUUGACUUUGGGAUAACUUCAGGAAACUGGGGCUAAUACCGGAUAGGAGCUCCUGCUGCAUGGUGGGGGUUGGAAAGUUUCGGCGGUUGGGGAUGGACUCGCGGCUUAUCAGCUUGUUGGUGGGGUAGUGGCUUACCAAGGCUUUGACGGGUAGCCGGCCUGAGAGGGUGACCGGCCACAUUGGGACUGAGAUACGGCCCAGACUCCUACGGGAGGCAGCAGUGGGGAAUAUUGCACAAUGGGCGGAAGCCUGAUGCAGCAACGCCGUGUGCGGGAUGACGGCCUUCGGGUUGUAAACCGCUUUCGCCUGUGACGAAGCGUGAGUGACGGUAAUGGGUGAAGAAGCACCGGCUAACUACGUG
rnacentral:rRNA from 1 species